UGGGCUCAGGGGCUGUGUGCACCAUGGCCUGGACACCUCUUCUCCUCGUGCUCCUCUCUCACUGCACAGGUUCCCUCUCCCAGCCUGUGCUGACUCAGCUGCCCUCCCUCUCUGCAUCUCCUGGAGGCACAGCCAGACUCACCUGCACCCUCAGCAGUGGCUUCAGUGUUGGCAGCUAUGUUAUAGCCUGGUGGCAGGAGAAGCCAGGGAGCCCUUCCCAGUAUCUGCUGUACUACGACACAGAUUCAUACAAGGGCCAGGGCUCUGGGGUCCCCAGCCGCUUCUCUGGAUCCAAAGACAGCUCAACUAACUCCGGUGUUCUGCAGAUCACUGGGCUGCAGCCCGAGGACGAGGCUGACUAUUACUGUGAUGCAUGGGACCGGAACUCCAAGACUUGCACAGUGUUUCAAAUGCAGCAGGAAGUGCGACAGAAACCUCCUCUCUGCUCUUCCAGUCCCAGUGCAGCCGCCCUGGCCGGUGCCUCUGACCCGCUCUAG